AGAGCUCACUGCUCAUCAUAGAACUCAUACCGGCGAGAGGCCCUAUGAAUGUAAAGACUGUGGCAAAUGUUUCUAUCGCAAGUCACACUUAACUCUUCAUCAUAGAAUCCAUACAGGUGAGAAGCCCUAUGAAUGUAAAGAUUGCAGAAAAGCUUUUUUCUGCAAGUCAGGACUCGCCCGACAUCUGGGAACUCAUACACAUGGUACUAAUACAAAGAACAGAGAAAAGCAUUUUCCUGCAACUCACAGCUCAGUCAAUAUCAGAAAUGAUAUACAAGUUAGAAACCCUGUGGCUCUAAAUAAUGAAAAAAAACUCUCUACUAUAAAUCACUCCUCAGUUCAUAUGAUGGACUUCUUAGAGUUGAGAAGUCCUAUAGAUGUACAUAAUGCAGGAAAACUUACCUUCUUAACUCAUGCCUCAUUCAAUGUGAAUGAACUCAGGUGAGACACGCUAAUAACAGAGAAGGCUAGAAAGCAUGCAGUCAACCAGGAUCACUUGACAUCAGAGGAUGCCUUACGAAAGAGUACGGCAAAGAACUGGCACAAGGGAGACCUCUCAGUAUCAGAAGACCGUUUUGUCUGGAAAGAACACAGGAAAGCAGCUUAAACAUGGAAAGAAGCUUAUGACUUAAAAGCCCAAAGUUUUGAAUGGUGACUCGGGUCUCUGUUGAAACCUGCAAUGGAACACCCUGAGAAUGUAUAAAAAUCAAAAAACAUUUUCCAGUUAGGCUACCAUAUACGUACUAACCUUGAAAAACAUUUAAGGGACCCUUUUAAAAAACAGGAAAAUUUUGAUGUCAGACCACAGUCUGCAUCAAAAAAAGUCAUACAGGUGAGAGACUGUGUACAAAUAAAUCAUGUAUAGUGGCACUUGCUUAUGUUCCGUUUCAUUGACACAGUUAUUCAAGACUAGGGAACAUCAUAUUCUCUCCAACUCUAGGUGGGCCUAGAAUGUUAAAAGGGCAUGUGUAGAAAUGUGAUAUGUUUCAGAAGUGCUGUUGAGUUAUGUUGGAAAUGACUGACUCUGUAUUAGGUAGGAGGCACUGGCUUAUUCUGUAGGACUGCUAAAGUGAUCUGUGUUAUCUGAUUCUCAUCUCGAAAGAGAAAAUGCGGGAAGUCUUCUGAUGACGUCAUUUUAGUCUGACAGUCAGUGAUGUAGGGGCCCAGACAUUAGCAGUACUUAUUUCCUGAUCUCAGAGAAGCGAUGGCUGAGAGUGGCAACAUUUAUAUCAAAUUAGCAGCACAGGAGAGAUGGAGGUCCAUGGGAUUUGUACCACAGUUUGCAGAUAAAUGAGGGAAUCUAGACCAGUGCUUAAGAUAACAAACCGAGUGAGUGUUAGAGCCAGGAUCAAAUACCCUAUCUCAGCUCAGUGUCGCUUGCACUCACUCUGCACCAUUUCACCUGACCAGAUUUAUACAGCUUGCUCUUAGUGGAUGGAAGGAGAACAGUUUUCAUUAUCAUUUUCCAACUCUGGGAGAAGAGAAUCUAAAUAAUAGUGUCCUGACUCUUUUAAGCCAAGCAACAGCCAGCUCCGAGAAUUCAGCUGUGCCCCCUUGCAGAAGCUCAUCACAACUGGGCUUAUUGAUGGUUUAUACUCUCGUCUCCUCCCAGCAUCCAACUGCUCCCUACCAACUGGCAGCUCUGCAGACUGCCUAGAGAAAAGAUUUAGAGUAAGUGCCAGGAAACACUAGGGAAGUAGCCACAGCCUCCAUCUAUGUUGUUUUGGAAAAAAAAAAUCCCAUUCCUGCUGAGUAAGUCAUUCCAGAUGCCACCCACUAGGGGUGGUGUACUCAUACCCUUGGAAGUAACCCUUACUCACGCUCUGUAAGGAAGCCAAAUAAAGUCAUUGAUAUAUUU
rnacentral:lncRNA from 1 species